rnacentral:rRNA from 1 species
UGGGGAAUAUUGGACAAUGGGCGAAAGCCUGAUCCAGCCAUGCCGCGUGUGUGAAGAAGGUCUUCGGAUUGUAAAGCACUUUAAGUUGGGAGGAAGGGCAGUAAGCGAAUACCUUGCUGUUUUGACGUUACCGACAGAAUAAGCACCGGCUAACUCUGUGCCAGCAGCCGCGGUAAUACAGAGGGUGCAAGCGUUAAUCGGAAUUACUGGGCGUAAAGCGCGCGUAGGUGGUUCGUUAAGUUGAAUGUGAAAGCCCCGGGCUCAACCUGGGAACUGCAUCCAAAACUGGCGAGCUAGAGUAGGGCAGUUGGUGGUGGAAUUUCCUGUGUAGCGGUGAAAUGCGUAGAUAUAGGAAGGAACACCAGUGGCGAAGGCGACCACCUGGGCUCAUACUGACACUGAGGUGCGAAAGCGUGGGGAGCAAACAGG